UAGGGAAUUUUCGUCAAUGGGGGGCAACCCCUGAACGAGCAAUGCCGCGUGAGCGAAGAAGGUCUUCGGAUUGUAAAGCUCUGUUGCCGGGGAAAAAGGAAGGAAAGAGG
rnacentral:rRNA from 1 species